rnacentral:lncRNA from 1 species
GGCUAGGGGUUGAAUCGGAGCUAUAGCCACAGGCCUACGCCAGAGCCACAGCAACGCGGGAUCCAAGCCGCGUCUGCAACCUACACCACAGCUCACGGCAAUGCCGGAUCAUUAACCCACUGAGCAAGGGCAGGGACCGAACCCGCAACCUCAUGGUUCCUAGUCGGAUUCGUUAACCACUGCGCCACGACGGGAACUCCAAAACCCACAGAAAUCAACAAGAAAGAGAUUCAUUGGACAGAAAUAUGGGUAAAAGAUGUAAACAGUGUGUCUUAGUCUGCUUGGGCUGCCGUAACAAAAUACCACAGACUUGGUGGAAAUUUAUUUCUCACAGUUCAGGAGGCUAGGAAACCUGAGACCAAGGUGCCAGCACAGGAUGUUUAAUUCUGAGGCCUCUUCCCUUGGCCCCUAGGUGGUCACCAUCUCACUGUGUACUCAGAUGUUCUCUUCUUUGUUUAAGCAUGGGGAGAGAAAGAACUUUCUGGUGUCUCAUCUUAUAAGGAUGCUAGUUUGAUCAGAUCAGGGCCGCACCGUUAUGACCUCCUUUAACCUUAAUUACUUCCUUAGAGGUCUCAUUUCAAGUUCAGCCACUCUGGAGGUUAGUGCUCCAACAUAUGAGUUUUGGGGGCGGGGACAUAAACAUUCAGUCUGUAACACAGAGCAGUCACACAAAGAGUAAUACAAGUAAUUAGCAUGUAUUAUUAAUUUUUUAAUAAAAACAAUAAUUGAUAACAAUAAUUUGAAGAUUACCAUAUUCCAAGCAUUGUUCUAAGCACUUGACAUCUCUUACUCAUGAAGUUCUUAUAGGAAGUCUAUGGCAAGCUAGUUUCCCCUGCUAUCCUGACAGAAGAGGAGCCUGAUGCAUAGAGAAGUUAGGCAACUUGGCCAAGAUCAUACAGCUAGGAAAAGGCAGCUCCAGAAUUCAAACUCAGGAUCUGGCUCCUGAGUCUGUGUUCUUAAAAACUCUCUGAGAUGCUCAGACUUAUCCAUAGGUAGAAGCUAGAAUAAUACACCGAUUUUUAGGCACUGGAUUGAUGAAAAUGAAAAGGCUAGAUAUAUCUAGUGCUGGCAAGAGUCUGGGGAAAGUGGCACUUUUAUACACCUUCGGUAGCAGUGGAAACUUUUGAAGGGCGAUUUGACAAUAUCGAUUGAAAUUAAGUAUGUGUGCUUUCAUACUUUGAGCCAACAAUUCCACUUCUGGAAAUUCACUUACUUGCAAAACUAUGCCAAGAUAUCAGAGUAUGAGUGUUCACUGCAGUAUCAUUUGAGUUAGUCAUAAACCCAAAGUCAAUGUGAAUGUCAAUCAGAAGGGCAAAAUGGAAAGAGAUGGCGAUAAGCUGGUGACGUGGAUCAGUUAGCACUGAUACAGGAAUAUCACAGGCAUAAACUGAUAUGUUAUAUUAGGUUGUUAGGGCCCCAUAAUAAAAUGCCACAGAGUAGGUGACUUAAACAACAGGCAUAUAUUAUCUCACAGUUCAGAGACUGGAAGCCCAAGGUCAAGGUGUUGGAAGAGUUGGUUUCCUCCGAGGCCUCCUUGGCUUGCUGAAGGCCACCCUCCUGCUGCCCUUCACGUGGCUAUUCCAUGUGUGCCCUGGUGUCUCUUUGUGGGUCUUAAUUUCCUCGUCUUAUAAGGACAUCAGGCUAUAGUAGAGCCCAUCCUAAGGGCCUCAUUUUACCUUAAUUACCUCUUUAAAGGCCCCUUCUCAAAAUACAGUCACAUUCUGGGGUACUGGAAGUUGGGGCUUCAGCAUAGGAAUUUGGAGGGAGCAUGAUUCAUCCCACAACCUGGAUGAAAAAGAAAGAUGGAUAGAGGCUGGUAUCUGCUUUGAAAAUCUGUCUGUAAAGCCCUUCAGAGAACUCUUACACUCACUUUGGGGCAAAACACUGGAUGAGCCUGAAGUGUGGCUGAGGGUAAACUCCUAUUUUACUUUUACACCUUUCUGUAUUUAAUAUUCUAAUCAUGUGGAAGCAUUGCUUCUUACUUUAUUCAAAUGUUAGCAAGAGCUACCUAGAUAGUAGGAUUAUGCAUCAUUUUAACUUUUUCCUUUAAUUUUUCUGAUGAAAAUCUUCAUAAAUGUAGUUAAAAGUAUUCUAAAAAAAAGGAACAACAAAAAAUUGAGGGGAAAUGGACCACAUAUAUGUGGAGAGAUUUGAUGUUUACAGUUAACUUUCUUUGGUCAUUUUCAGUGUGUUGUGGUGUAUUGUUGGUCUUUGAAAAAAUCUUCCGUGAAGUUUCAUAACCUAUGGUCCUAUCCCACUUUUUUUUGUUAUUUUGAUUUACAAAAUUUUCUUGAAAGCUAAACUAUUUUAGGGAAGUGUUGUGCCUUCUCUUCACUGGAAAAGGGGUUACUAUCAACUUAACUUCUGGCAAUCUACAUUCUAUUGAUCUACUUUAUGGGUUUAAACAUAUCAAGUUAUUAAUCACGCCCCCCCCUUUGUUACCAGCAGAUUCCUAACUUACCUCAGAUUGCCAGUGUGUUCAUUAAAUGUCAAAGAAUGUUGACAUUUAUUCAAAAGAUAUGUGAUUAGCAGGGAAAUCUACCACAAACGGGAAGCUACACACAUUUCUUCAAAGUGAAAAUCGCAAUCAUUUUUUCAUCAUUUGCUGUUGGGCAUUGACUUGAAUCUCUUUCUCUCAAAGGGCAAAGAGACCAUUGCAUUGGAAUAGUUUCAAUUUUGCCACACAGGGAAGGGAGAAGGGGAGGAAAAGACAUCUAUUGAGAGCCGAAUCUGCACUAAAUGCUUGAAAGGUAUUCUCUCAUUUCACCUUCACAGCCAACCUAUGAAGUGAGUGUUUUUAUUUCCACUUAGAGAUGAGGGAACAGAGUCAGAGAGGUUAAGGGACAAUUUCAAAGUCUAGCAGUCGGGGUAUGGGUGGAAUUCAGGAUGCAUCAUCUGGUCUUUGGACUUGGAGGCACAUGCUUGCCUCAGCCUUUGCCAAAUAUGGGCAGUUCACAAACAUGGGCUCUGCAGGGCUCUUGGGCUACCAGGCUUUGGGACCUGGUAAGAUGGAACAGGACAGCAGGUCCAAGGCCUGGUGGGUCUUCCUUGGAAAUAGGACAAGGAAGAAUUCCCACCCAGUCCAAGGGAGAUGCUAGUUAGAACCUCAAGUGGUACAGCUGAAGGGCUUCCCACUAGUCCCUUCCUUUUACAAAAGGGGGAAAUGAGGCCCAGUAAGCUUAAGUGGAAUUUAAGCUUAUUUCUUAUAUCCCCAACUUCUUCUUUAUUUCUUUUUGUAGAUUUAUAGAACAAGCUCUGCAAUGCAGGGGAAUGGUUUGCCAGUGGAUUCUUUGUGGGCUGUGUGGCCUCAAUUUUUUUUUAAAUCAAUUGAUUGCCUAGAUCUACUUUAAUAUCAUCCUAUGCUUUUCUUUCAAGAUUUCAUUAAGAAAUGAAACUUUUAAAAUCCUAAUUUAUUUUAUUAUAUAUAUUCUCAUGGUGAAAAAUUAAAAAUAUAUAGAUAACUUUAGAAGAUUAAGCAAUGUAAUUUCUUACUCCACAAAUAAAAAUUUGGGGUAUAACCUUCCAGGUGGGGUGAAUAAACACCAUUCCUGGAGCCUGACGCAAAAGGAAAAAUCAAUAAUACUGAUCUUGUCUUUGUUUAAAAUUUGGACAUUUUUUUCAUCAUGGAUUUUUUUUGCAUUACUUUGUUUUUUUUUUUUGUUUUUUGUUUUUUGUUUUUGUUUGUCUUUUGUCCUUUUUCAGGGCCACACCCGCGGCGUAUGGAGGUUCCCAGACUAGGGGUCUAAUUGGAGCCGUAGCCACCGGCCUACACAACAGUUCAUGGCAACGCUGGAUCUGUAACCCACUGAGCGAGGCCAGGGAUUGAACCUGCAACCUCAUGGCUCCUAGUCGGAUUCGUUUCUGCUGUGCCAUGAUGGGAACUCCACGUUACUUUGAUUUUUUAAACAUUACAUUGAAAUAUUAUCUUGAUUCCUGACCUUUUUGGCAACCCUUAAACUUUGUAGCUGAGGUGAAUUCUGGUGUGCCCCUACCUCGUUCAUUUCACCUUAGUCCUGGCCCUAGAAUAUAUAGAUUAUUAUUAAAAAGUGCUUUUUUUUUUUUUUUGGCUUGUUUUAUAAAAUUAAAAAAAAAUCAUGCUAUAAUAAGAGUUUACACAUCUAUAGCACUUACUAUGUAAUUCUGUAGAAUCUUUGUGUUUUCCAUGUGCUAAUCCUCCUAAUAGCCCAGUGGGGUGGAUACCAUUUGUAUCAUUUCCAUUUUGCAGAAGGAAAACCUGAGAUAUCUAGAGUUAAAGUGCUCAAGGCCACAGAGCCUGCAAGUGGUUGAGCUGUUGGGCUCCUAGGGUGUGUGCUCCAAACUACCACAAACGUUUGUGUCUCUCUGUACACACUGUCCUGUCACUUCCACUUUUUUCUUACUCUGCCAUAGGCAUCUUUCAAUUUCACUAUGGAAGACUCUGCUACCCAUCUUUGUUUUCUCAAUAUAAAUGGAAAUCUCAAGGAAAAACAAACAGAAACCCUCUCUCAACAGCACUUUGACAACCUCGCCCCUUUGGCCAGUGGCACUCCCCCUAGUCCUGCCCUUUGACUAUCAAGACCGUUUCUCUCAAAUGGACUUUUGACCAUGGUGGCUGUGGAUUCUCCUCUUUUGUGCCAGCGCUCUUAUUCUGAAGAUAAUUUACUGGUGCCAGCAAUCUGGCUGUUGUGUAUGCAGAGCAAGCCACCUCUUCAUGAGCUCAGGGGAAACAUUUGGAGCACAGAUUGCAAAGCACCUGAAUUUGAAAUGUUUAUUUCUUGGCUGGCUUUUAUUUUCUCCCAACUAUCAAAAGAACUCUGGCUGAAGUUGACGCAUUAAUCACUUGUCUAAUUUCAUUUCUUAAAACCUAGUUAUUUUUAAAUGAUAAGUAACAUGAUUUACUGCCCUUUUUGAUUUAGAAACCUGUUCAAAAUGCAGAGUGGUGUCUGCCUCUUUGUUAGCAUAGUCUUGAGAUGCUUUUUCAUUUGCUUUUUUGUGAUAAUUAAAUGCUUAUGGUUCUUUCAUCUAAAAUACAUGUUCAUUAUUGAUAUAUUUCAUGCACUCUGGACUGUUUAAUUUAGAUAUUGGUUAUUUCUAGUAAAAUGCAAUAUGGUUGGUGUCCCUAGAUAAGUAGGCUAAGAGGAAUACCCUGACCUGUUCUGAUUAUUUUGCAAUAUGUUCCCUUUCCAUUUCUAAGUAGUUAGUCAGUCCUGUGAAUCAGGUCACCAGCUUACUUCCUAGAUGGCUCAGUUCCAUGGUCAAAGUUUGCACUCUGACUUUGUGAUGUAGAACACUGAUCACAAAGUGUGUGUGUGUGUGUGUGUGUGUGUCUCCCUCAAAAUCUUUCAUCACUUGUUAUGGUCUAAGUGGGUGUCAGGCCAGGCAAUGUCAGGUCCCUUUAAACCAGGGGGUAAGAACAGAGCCUGACUGAUUCAUGUGGAUCAUCAUGGGAGGGUGAUUGGGAUGGAGGUGGUGGGUAAGUUGGUGGAGUUAUGGGCUGGAUCCUGUCCCCCUCUCUUCAAUUCACAUGUUGGAAGUUAUAAUCCACAGUGCCUCAGAAUGUGACUAUAUUUGGGGAUAGUGUCUUUAAAAAAGUAAUUAAAUUAAAAUGAGGAGACUCUGACUAGGGUCCUUAUAAGAAGAGAUGAGGACACAGACACACCCAGAAGGAAGACUGUGAAGACACAGGGAGAAGCUGGUUUAUCUGCAAGCCAAGGGGAAGGGCCUCAGAAGAAACCAACUCUGUCAACAUCUUGACCUCAGAUUUCUAGCCUCCAGAAUUAGGAGAAAAUAAAUUUCUGUUGUUUAAGCCACCCAGUCUGUGGUACUCUGUUAUGGCAACCCUAGGAAUCUAAUUCAGGUGGAAAGUGGGUAAAACAGGGUGGAUGAUUGGAAUGAAUUACAUACAUUUUUGGUAAGCUGGUCAAGCAAAAGAUCUCAUGAAUUUUACUGUCCCUGUAAUUUGCCUACCUGUAAAUAGAUUUCCUGUUCCUGAAUUGUUGUGAUUCCUCAUGUUAUAAUGAAGUAGCUUUUGUAGCCUAAAUGGAUACGUGUACUGAGUGGUUGGAAAAUCCAGUGAAUCAGCUCUGAGGAAUGGGCUGUGGAGGAGCAGAGCUCUCCUUCUAAGGCCGCUGCUGGGAGAGAGGGCACCACUCCCCUUUGAGUGGAUGGGGACAAGAACUGUUGCUAUCACAUAACAAGCUUGUGGGCUCAGCUAUAUACAUAUGGUCUUUCAUUUUUGCUACAAACUUGUAUUAUAUAUCUUUAUUUUGUAGAUGAGAAAACUGAGGGCAUGGCAAUGAUAAGAAUUUGUGACUUAGCUCUGCCUGUAUUCAGAUUCCAUGUUGGUUUUUUUUUUAUUAUACCAUGAUACCUCUAAGUUUUGUUUUGUUUUGUUUUUUUAAUGUUAUUGCUUUGGUCCUAUUGACAGUAAUUUUAUGUGCCAGCUUGGCUAGGAUAUAGUACCUAGUUGUUGAGUCAAAUGCUAGUCUUAUAGUUCCUGUGAAGGUAUUUGUUAGAUGUGAUUAACAUUUACAAGCAUUAGACUUUGAGUAACAGAGGUUAAUUACCCUCUAUUUACUGGAUGAGCCCUGUGCAUCUGUUGAAGGCCUUAGAGCAAAACUGAGGUUUCCCUGGGAAGGAUAAAGACUGCAGCAUGGUAACCUGCUUGAGUUUCCAGCCUGCUCACUUGCUUUGUGGGUUUUACACUCAAGGCUGCAACAUCAACUCUGACCUGAAUUGCCACCUUGCCUGCCUGCCCUGCAGAUUUCAAACUUACCACCCUCACAAUUGUGUGAGCCAAUUUUAAAAAUCUUUCUCUUGCUAUCCUAUUGGUUUUCUUUCUUGAGAGAACCCUGACUAAGACAGUCUUUAAUUAAAUGAGUCUUCAGCUUGGAAGGUAGGAAAUUUCACUAUUGCGUUAGAAUAAUUUACCUGCUGUAACAAACAAUUCCCAAAUCUCGGUGGGUUGGACACAGUUAAAAUCUUAUUUCCCACCUAUCUUGACCCAACCGGAUAUUGGCAGGUUGGCCUUCUCCAUAGUGAGAACCAAGAGAACCAGGCUUCUACCCAGUGGUUCUGCCACCUUUCAGGGGUUCUGUGGUUCCCCCCUGGUCUCUGCAUCUGGCCAGGAGAGGAGGCAGUGAGUAUGGAGGCUCUCUGGAGGGGUGUUAGAGGCCAGACUUGCAGGUAUCACAUGCUUUCUCCCCUAGUCCACUGCCCAGAGCUCCACCCCAUGGCUGCUCCUGGCUGCAAGGAUGCUGGGGCAUGAGUCUUCCUGGGAGAGCUCAGAAAGGAGAGGAGACUCACAUGCAUUGGAAAGCACUGGGCUUUCUCUGUCACACCUGACAACUGCCAGCAUGGCUGCAGAUGUGAUAAGAGAAACAGUAGGGAAAAAAAUCCACAGAAUAAAUGGAUGUUAUUUUUGAAAGGGGAUGCAGAAUAUUUCUAUAUGUCUAUUAUAUUUUUAAAGUCAUUUUGUGCAUUUACAAUUUUAAUGUAUAGUUACGUAAUUCUGAUCAAAAUAGCUGUAGAAUUGUUGCUCUGGAAAUGACCAAAACUUUCCCCCAGAAUUCAUUUGGAAGUUAAUGGAGUAUACAUCCAAAGACAGCUUUGAGCAAGAAGACCAGUUAAGGUGGAAAGCUAUUUCCACCAGGCAUUAGACAAGGAUAUAAAGUAACUCAUUGUGAGUUCCCUUCCUGGUUCAGCAUUAAGGAACCCAGCUAAUAUUCAUGAGGACACAGGUGCAAUCCCUGACCUCCCUCAGUGGGUUAAGGAUCGGGCUUUCUGUGAGCCGAGGUGUAGGUCACAGAUGCUGCUCAGAUUAUGCAUUGUUGUGGUUGUGGUAUAGGCCAGCAGUUGCAGCUCCAAUUCGACCCCUGUCCUGGGAACUUACAUACGUUAUGGGUGCAGCCCU